rnacentral:lncRNA from 1 species
UGCUAUGAAAGGACCUUGGGAUCGCUGUGAAUCAAGGGCACAAUGUAACACAUUCCGAUUGAUAUAAUUAACAAGAGGGGAAAAACAUAUCAAAAUAAUAACGUCCUAAAGACUAAGGAAUUGAGAUACUUUCCUGCCCCAAAAAACAAACUUGAACCCCUAGUAAAAAAAACAAAGGACUAAGAAACUUGGAAAGGAAGGAAGCAUCUUUCAAUAGAGAGAAACUACACGACUACUACUAAACUGACGCAUCAAAAUAUCAAAGAACCUUACAAGUUAAGCAUUGCUUGCUACGGUUGUCGAAGCAGCAGCAGCUGCAGCAUCGACAUUGCUACUCUCCUCGAACUUAUUAGCAAUAUUGGUCGCAGCCGAGUCCUCAAGGCUACACCUCAAAGGAGGCAUUGCGGGGAGAGCUUCUUCCCCUGCUGCUCCAUUUUUUCGAGAUAUGUCAAACCUGUGGCGACCGUCGUGAAAGUCUCGGGCAUGUUGCAUAACCGGUCUGAAAUCGCCGUUGUUGUUUCCCCGAAACGAAUCGAAUCUGUUGUUACCGUGCUGCUGCUGACGAUGGUGGUAAAUCCUGACAGGCGAUUUCCUUCCUCUCAAAUCGACAAAGCCACCACCGCUACGAUCAUCGAACAGCCUCAUGUGGCUAGGAGGAAACUGACGUCUCGGUGGAGAAGUGAACCGUUCACGGUCUUCAUAUCUAGCUGUGAAACGCUUCUGAAAAGGAAUUCUCACUCCUCUGUUUGGCCCAGGGGACCUACUGCGCAUCAAUGAGCCAUCAACAUCUUGUUGUUCCCUAUGCUGUAAGUAAUUUGGCGGCGAUCGUAUCCUUGACCUUGAAUACUGGGGGCGUCCGUGCAGUUGGGGGGAAAUACUUCGGUUAGAUUUCCUGAACUCUUCUUCCCUCAUGCUGCCCCUAUAGGUCUGAAAUCUUCGGAACUGAUUCCUUGCUUGUGGACUCAUCUCUCGCAGCGGACACAUUCUCGAAUUAGUGCCAUAAUAAUCCUCUCCUCUAAAACCAGGUAACCGCCUUCUCAUUGUGUGUUCACGGGAAUUUGCAAAUUGCCUACCGGCUCGAUUCUCAAAUCCAUGGGAAUCCAUCCGGUCAGAUGACAUCAUAUAUCUUCUUCCUUCAACAAAGCCUUUUGGCAUAGGACGAUCAAAAGUAUGUGCACCCCGAUUCGGCGAGUAAUGUCGGUCUAAGUUCCAGUUAGCAGUAGAACGACCAGGACUUCGGUAACGCACGUCAGCGAAAUGUCUGUUGUCCCUUCCAAAGUAUCGUUUGGAACGAACAUCGGAUUCAUCUCGUGGGAAAAACUUGCGGCAACUUUCUGACCUGGAAUAAGAACCGUUCCUCCACAUGGCGUCCGGUGGCCCAUCAAUAAAUGAUCCAGAGUCGUCCAUCUGAUUACCGCCUAUUGGAACAAAACCAGAGGGCAAACCUUUAUCACUGCUUUUCAAGCUCGCUGAAUCAUCUCUUGCAGCACCCAUUUCAGUACCCAUUUCGCCAUUACUAAGUUCAGUUUUUCUAGUGGUUUCACAAGAUCCCGGGCUUUACGCUCUUUCAGCCUCCACUUCCUUCACUUGCGUCAACCCGAGGACACCCUCAUCGCAUUCCGAGCCAUAGUCUACUUGCUCGACUUCCCCGUCCUCGCCUCCAUUUUUGUCCGAAUAGUAAGGUGCGUCAGCUUCUCUCAACUCUCCAUCCUCGAACUGAGAAUCAUAACCACCUAAAAGCUCUUCACCUCUCUCAGUGCUGUUCAUAUCCACCUUCUCCGUUUGAUAAACAUCAGAGCCAUAACUAUCAUCUGAACCAUCUCCCAUAGCCAAAACGUUUGCAGGUGUACCAUCAGAAGAAAGAGCUUUGCUUACCCCUCUAAUUGUAGGGUAAGCAAUCCUAUCAUCCGCAGAAAUCUUAGCAGGAUCCAAAUGAUCAAGAGAACAGAUGGCGCCAGCAAUCUUACAAGAAUCCUUCACGUCUGCAGCUGAACAGACAAAGCCCUUACUGUUCCUGUCAAGCUCUGAAGAGUUGUCAAAUCCAUUCUGUCUAUUGCUAGCUUCAUUAAUCGCAGUCAACGACUCUUUUGUAUCUGCAGAGACAGUGAAAGGCUCCUUGGCAUCUUCUAACACACUAUCCACAACGGAGUUCUGAGUUUUCUUACAUUCCACAUUUACCUUAGAAUUAUUCAGAAACUCCACCCUUUCCUCUGUUUCUGAAAGCAAACAAGUUGAUGCAUUUACAUGACUGCCCAUUGCACAGGAAUGACUAGAGUUUUCCCAGGCAUCUGCAGGAACAUUCAGGUCCCAGAGCGGUCUAGUAUCUUUUACAGAUCCAGAUCCCUCGCCAAAUCCAAUUUCUUUUUUUAUAUGAGAUUUCAGCAAAACAGCUCCGGUUUGCUCCAGCAAAGAUGAUCCCUGGCCCUUUCCUUCACCAGCAUUGUCUUUAGGAGAUGAGCCUAUUCUGUCUCUAGUUGAUAGGACAACUGACCACAAAUGACCAUUAUCAACUUCGCCAGUCACUACAGCUGCAAGUAUCUCCAAACCGGAGAAGUCUUCACUCUUCUGUUGAGUAUCAACCUUUGCAGAAUCUUCACCUGCCUUCGAUAGCUUCUCACUGUAAGAGCCAAGUUUAGAGGCUUCUUGAUGGGAUCUAGGUGAAGGCGAGGGAGAACAAAGCAUAACCCUACGUUUCUUCAACGGAAUAUCCGCUAUUUUGUCACUAAAACGUCGCCCAAGAAUGGCCACCCCAUGCUGGUAAGAGUAGUUUCGGUUAGUAUGUUUUGGAAAAAACUGUAACACUUCAAUCAUGUAGGCAAUACGUGAAAUGGCAGGAAACAAAAAAUUUACCUUCUCUGUAUCUGAAGCUGUUCCCUCUUCCACCUUCAUUGAUCCUUGCACUGAUAGCUUCUCCCCAGCAACAAAAUUUCUGAGAGCAUGCCUCCUAGCCCGCCUUGAAGAACUCCUAUAUCCUUUAGCUAUAGACUUCCAAGUUAACUCGGGAUUAAUAAAAUUCUCGAGUUCCAAACCCACUUUACGCAUCCCGCCUACAGACCCUAUAAUUUUUUUCCCGGUCAUAGACGAUUUGCUACUGGAAGGCUUGCUUGACACAAUCGCUCCUUGCUUUGUACUUGACAUGAGUGGAGAUGGCUUAGCCACGGUGCAAGUCGAGAACCUAAUCUACAAGAAACAAGAGGAACUUCCGUUAAUGAGAGAGUAACACCAUCCACAAAUUUCAUCAUCUAGGAGUGAAAGAGGCUUCAUCUCUUCCUCUUAGAGGCACAUGCCUUAAACAGAGAUAGGGUUUAAACAAAAAUCACCAUAGCAAUCACAAACGAAAAUUACGCAAUAAGUACAACAACAGUUGAGCAAGAGCAAUGAGGAUUAAUGCGCAAAACCCAAUCAACCAAACUUCACAUCAAGUAGAUCUUAAUUUCGAUAUCUGGGUGCAAGAUAAGGCAUCACAGAUGACGUCAAACAAGCAAAUUACGAUGUAACAUCUGCAAGCACCGUUCAAUAGAAUCCACAUCCACCCAUUCAUAGGUGACAUCAUGCAAUGAACAAUCAUCGUUUACAAGCUACUGUGCUGAUCCGCAAUCAAUUUAUCCCGGAAACUGGAGAUCAUGAAAACAGCCCAACAAGGCUCUUGUACUACUUCAAAGCCUAGAGUAGGUCACAACAGACAAAUAUAUCCAUCGACUGCUCCAACGAACAAGGGUUUCGUGCAUCUCAUCCAAAUCGACAGGCCUCGUUUCAAAUCACGCAGACAACAGCAGAUCCAGAAGUUCAGAUGAGCAGGAAGGCCGAUUCACUUGUGUUUGAGCGCCCCCAGCAUCCAAACAACAAGAAGCGCCACAAAAAUUCGAGGAAACGAGGAGAUGGAGCCAGGGAAGCAAAAUCGAAGGAGAUCUUUGAAACACCACACGAAACAAAGCGUAGAAAAUAACAUAAACUAGGGUUUCCAAUUACCUGUAUCGUUCUCCUUCCUGAUUGAACUAUAUAUAAAUCUAUCGCCCCCAGUCGAUAACUCCAAAGCCCCGGAAUCAAUAUCCUCGAGAUGACAGAAAAACAACAGAGACCCGUUCCUGUCUUCUUCUCCUACUAUCCCCAAGCUCCUACGAUCAAAGCACGUCGUCAAUAAUGCAGAUGUAGAGACUCGUCCGACUCGCCAGCUUCCGUUGAACGCUCGCCGGAGCACUGAAGGCGACGUCGACGAUCUGUGCUGAUUCUCGCUCGCUCCCUCUCUCUCUGGUUCUCAAAACCGGUCAGCUUCGUCGGACUAACAGCUGUGUCUGGAUCAGCGCCACGAAAGCCCUAUCACCUCAUAUAUAUUGUAAAUAAUAAUGCUGAACAAUUACCCGCGAAUGUUAGCGUUAUUUACCGAGGACUGCCAUUCCAUAGGGCCUGGCUUCUCUAGUUUUCCUUUUCGGUAUAAGAAACGAAUUUCAGAAAACCAAAACAAAUUCGGAUUGUGGUUUGGUUUGGGCAGUAAAGUCAACGGUCAAACAAGGUAAGAACCUUUGGGGUCUUAAUCAUCGUAUGGAUUGGGGUCGUUCAUAUCUGGUUAGUACUAAAAUACCAAUUUAUUUUAAUUAAACUCGGUUCAAUACAUCUACUUAACCGAUUCAGUAAAAUAGGUCGCUACUAUACGAUUAUAAAUGUGUCAUUAAGAUUGUGUCACCUAUUUAUAUCAUAUUAAGUAUUUUAUUUUAUUUUACUUCUUUAAAACAAGAUAACACCCUCCCGUAAAUAUUAACACAUACCUAAUGAACUUUGAAGUUCAUUUCAAUUUAUUUCGAUGGCGAACGCCACCUCACUAAUAGAUAUUUGGCAUCAUCAUCAAUUUUCAUUCCUAAUUAUAUGAAUGCAGGUAGUAAAAAAUGUUUGAUGAAUAAUAUAAAAGUCAUAUGUUUUCGAGAUUUUCUUCUCAGCAUGCCAUCUCGACAUCUUGUUCUCCUUCCUCCACGUUGGCGCGACCUACUCUCUCAUGAUCCUCUUGGGGAUCUUCCUCUUGGCUUGACCAUGGCUAAUGGUUUUUUACACAAUCGGACCAGUUUGGUAACUGGUUCACUGUUUUCAUGGUCUGACCGUUCAGAAGCCUAGUAUGUUUCUAACAACACUUGUGUCUAUUGAGUAACCAUGUUGGCAAGUCAAAUUGCUCGAGAGUGUUGGUAAACUUUUUUACUCAGAAGAAAGUCCUUGAGAACGUCUUGAUAUUAUACGAGCCAAGUUUGAGAGAAGCUUGCUUGAUUCAAUUGGCGCCUGGUCUCGGAAGUUAUACCAACAAAUCUCGGACUCUUCACGUUAUCAACUCGAAAUCUCGGUCCAAUUGCGUCCGAUUUUCUCAAGUACAUGGUUGAUUACAUACAUAUUGUAUGUGUAUGUACACGAGUAGUCAUUAAUAUGGACGUGUAUAUAACAAGUAAUUUGAGCUCAUAUCGGAUUCUUUCACCUCAGGAUCGGAACCCACCCACCAUGUCCGAAACGAACUAGGGUCAGGUGUAGUCAAAUUAGACGGUCGGAUGCAAAUUGUCAUUCCUGCCCCAAAAAACUUGGAACCCUAGACAAAAAAACAAAGGACUAAGAAACUUGUAAAGGAAGGAAGCAUCUUUCAAUAGAGAAAGUAAGCGACAACUAGACUGAUGUAUCAAAAUAUUAAAGAACCAUAGAAGUUAAGCAUUGCUUGCUACCGCAUCGACAUUGCUACUCUCGUCGAUAACUUGUUAGCAGCAUAAUUGGUCGCGAGCCAAACCUCAAGCGCCUUACGGGGGAGCUUCCUCCCCUGCUGCUGCUGCUGCUGCAUUGUUUCGAGACAUCUCAAACCUGUGGCGAGCGUCGCGAAAGUCUCCAGGCUGUUGUUGCAUAACCGGUCUGAAUUCGUCGCUGUUGUUUCCCCGAAUUGAAUCGAAUCUGUUGUUACCCUGCUGCGGCUGACGUUGGUGGUACAUCCUGACAGGCGAUUUCCUUGCUCUAAAAUCGACAAAGCCACCACCACUACGAUCAUCAAACGGCCUCAUGUGGUUAGGUUGAAAUUGACGUCUCGGUUGGUCACGGUCUUCGUAUCUAGCUGUGAAACGCUUCUGAAAAGGAAUUCUCACUCCUCUGUUCGACCCAGGGGACCUACUGCGCAUCAGCGAACCAUCAACAUCCCGUUGUUCCCUUUGCUGUAAGUAAUUUGGUGGCGAUCGUAUCCUUGACCUUGAUCUCGACCUUGAAUACGGGGGGCGUCCGUGCGGUUGCGGGGAAAUACUUCUAUCUCUUUUGGAUAAACCGUUGUAGCCAACUUCUGGGAAGGAAUUCCUAAACUCUUCUUCCCUGAUGCUGCCCCUAAAUCUCCGAAACUGAUUUCUUUCUUGUGGAGACAUCUCUCGCUGCGGAAACAUCCUCGAAUUCAGGCCAUAGGAAUCCUUGCCUGUAAAACCAGGUGACCGCCUUCUCAUUAUGUGUUCACGGGAGUUUGCAAAUUGCCUACCGACUCGAUUCUCAAAUCCAGGGGAAAUAC